GGACUGAGACAGAGUCCGACUGAAACGAAGCGCUGAGGCUUCUCAUAGUGGAAGGCCAUAAGCUUUCAGGCAAACGACCUCCUGUAGAUAGACGCCUAGAUGAAGCUGGCAGGUCUAUAGAGACAUCACGUAUAGGCGUGCUAACAUGGUCUCUUUCAAGUAUGGCCCAUUCUUCAAGACUAACCAUCUGUGCACAAGUUUAUGCAAUCGGCAUUGCGUAAUCUAAUGAAUGCAAAAUCAGUAUACAACAGAGAGAGAGAGAGAGAAUCUACUUGAUCGUUUAGUAGCGAGUUGAGUUUGAUCUCUAGCUUUAGCUGUUGCAGACCAAUCCUUUGGCUGGUCACAUCAUCCUGUAGCUCUGAUAUCGCUUGCCACACAUUAAAUAGAGUUUCCUGAAACAUCAAAAACUUGAGUUUUCAGAACCAUUCAUGUUGAUAUAUAGGGCAUAAGUUAAAUAUAUACCUCGGACGUUAAUCUUUGAAUGUACAUUACAGCUUCAGCUUGCGCAAUUGCGAACCGCCACUGUAAAUAUCUAUUGUGGAGAAGGCGUAGCUGAUGAACGUCUUCGAUGUAGCUUGCUUUCUUGCCUUUCUUGACAUCUGUGAUGAAGCUGAGAACAGACGUUGUGGUAGUGGAUUGUGCUUGUCUUACCCUGGAAGGACUAACCCCUCUUGAAGGUGGAGUUGAUGGUCUAGCAAAAGAGGAGGUACUUGUAACACGUGAAGGACUCAACCCUCUUGCAGGACUCAGUCCUCUUGCAGGGCUUAGUCCUCUUGCAGGACUCACUCCUCUCGAAGUACUCAUGCCUCUAGAUGAAAACGAUGUUCUACUUGGUGAAUCAGGGCGAGAUCCAGGAGCAGAGAAUGGAUGCAGCCUAGCUACAGCCGUUGCUAAGGUUGCUCUAUCCAUAGAACUUGCAGACAAAAGUCUCUGCGCCCCAGAAGUUCGAACUACGUUAUUAUCUUCCGACUUCGUUGGAGACAGUAAUCCACCUAGACUAGAUGCGGUACUAGAAGUUUUACGCAACGGUUUCGAACUGUUGGACAAAGGUAGUGACAUUCUCCUAAGAGACGGUCCCAUUCGAGACCCUGAAGUUGAUGAACCCCUUGUAGUCUUGUCGCCAAGAUCCAAGCUUCUGUUCAAACCGAUCUUUCCACCAAUUCUACUAGGCCAUCGAUGCUGCUCUAUUAACCGACUGUGAGUUCCGUCUACAGGUUUCGAAUUCUCUGAAAGAUCAGACGCAUUCUUGUUCGCUUUCAAUGGACUUACCUUCCUCUCUGGCGUUGGUUUCCUUGAGACAGUCGUCGUUUCAGCCUUGUGCUUUUGAGCUAUGUUUGAAGAAGGUCUCAGCGUUCGAUCAACGGAAGAGCUUCUAACAGGUCUCUCCUUCUUACUAACAGGGACUGAGACAGAGUCCGACUGAAACGAAGCGCUGAGGCUUCUCAUAGUGGAAGGCCAUAAGCUUUCAGGCAAACGACCUCCUGUAGAUAGACGCCUAGAUGAAGCUGGCAGGUCUAUAGAGACAUCACGUAUAGGCGUGGAGGGAGGUGUUGAAGGACGCUUCCUGUCAGCAGAAACGGCUCUUUUAGCAGCUAAGGUUGAAGAGACUGUUGGCCUUGUGACGCUUGGUGAAGGG
rnacentral:lncRNA from 1 species